GACGAACGCUGGCGGCGUGCCUAAUACAUGCAAGUCGAGCGGACGGAUGGGAGCUUGCUCCCAGACCGUCAGCGGCGGACGGGUGAGUAACACGUGGGCAACCUGCCUGUAAGACUGGGAUAACUCCGGGAAACCGGGGCUAAUACCGGAUAACUCUUUCCCUCACAUGAGGGAAAGCUGAAAGAUGGCAUCUCGCUAUCACUUACAGAUGGGCCCGCGGCGCAUUAGCUAGUUGGUGAGGUAACGGCUCACCAAGGCGACGAUGCGUAGCCGACCUGAGAGGGUGAUCGGCCACACUGGGACUGAGACACGGCCCAGACUCCUACGGGAGGCAGCAGUAGGGAAUCUUCCGCAAUGGACGAAAGUCUGACGGAGCAACGCCGCGUGAGUGGUGAAGGUUUUCGGAUCGUAAAACUCUGUUGUCAGGGAAGAACAAGUACCGGAGUAACUGCCGGUACCUUGACGGUACCUGACCAGAAAGCCACGGCUAACUACGUG
rnacentral:rRNA from 1 species